AGUGAACGCUGGCGGUAGGCCUAACACAUGCAAGUCGAACGGCAGCACAGUAAGAGCUUGCUCUUACGGGUGGCGAGUGGCGGACGGGUGAGGAAUACAUCGGAAUCUACUUUUUCGUGGGGGAUAACGUAGGGAAACUUACGCUAAUACCGCAUACGACCUACGGGUGAAAGCAGGGGAUCUUCGGACCUUGCGCGAUUGAAUGAGCCGAUGUCGGAGUAGCUAGUUGGCGGGGUAAAGGCCCACCAAGGCGACGAUCCGUAGCUGGUACGAGAGGGUGAUCAGCCACACUGGAACUGAGACACGGUCCAGACUCCUACGGGAGGCAGCAGUGGGGAAUAUUGGACAAUGGGCGCAAGCCUGAUCCAGCCAUACCGCGUGGGUGAAGAAGGCCUUCGGGUUGUAAAGCCCUUUUGUUGGGAAAGAAAAGCAGCAGGUUAAUACCCCGCUGUUCUGACGGUACCCAAAGAAUAAGCACCGGCUAACUUCGUG
rnacentral:rRNA from 1 species